rnacentral:lncRNA from 1 species
CCUCCGGGGGACGGAACCUAGCACCAUGGUGGUCCCGCCGGGCAGAGCUGAGGUCCGCGAGACCUGGAGGCCAUGGAAUGGACGGUGCUGCUGGGCAUCGGGCCGGCGGGGAUGGGGACAGGGUCCACGGGAGCUGCCAUGCUUGUGUGAGGUCUCAUCUGCCCGCCUGGCCCAAGGCUGCAGGAGGGAAGGAGCUCCUCCUUCACCCCAUGGUGCCCCCACCAUGGCUGCCACCUGGCUUCUAUCAGAUGGAGGGAGAAAUUGACUGCAGUGUAGACAUUGGACACAGCAUGGCAUCCUGGCCAUCCUUCCUGGUCAGCUCUGUGGGCUACAAGCACAAAGACGGUGGAGAGCCUGGACUACUUGGAGAGAGAAGCAGGACAUCCCAGGCUACACAGUCAUAGUCCUGAGACAGCCUGAGCUAUGUGAUGAGCGACAAGGGACAGCCUGGUGUCUGUGGAAGGAGAAACACCAGGCUCCCCCUGGUGCUUUUUUUUUCCUUCUUUUUUUUAAAUCGAUUUUUGUUUUCUGGAGGACUUUAUCCAAGCCACAGCCACUUGAGAGAAGCGCACGGGGCCUUCUCUGGGUGACAUGGACAAGGGAGGGCGGCACCCACGGUGGACAGCACCACCCCCCGGGAAGGGGGUCUUGAGUUGUGAGGAAGUGAGGUGAGUGAGAUAGAGAAUGAGCAGGGGACAGGCCAUGGGACGUGUUGGAAGGGGAGGGGAGACCUAUGGGAGAGGCGCCAUCCCUGUGCUCAUCUGACAGUAGCUGCAGGUCAUCCCCCUGCCUCAUACUCUUCACUCCUUGUCACCCCCCGCCAGAGCUGCAGAGAAGCCAGGAAGGCCACCGGGCAUCCUGAGGCAGAGGGGGGUGGGUGUCAUCCCCGAGGAGUGGACAGAUGGGUCAGAGUGUGCAGAUUGCAAUGAUGUGGUCAGAGAGUCCAUGGCUUGGUGCCCGACCUUCCUUGGUCACACAGACUCCCGGUGAGAGCCACUAAGUCUAAUAGGGAAACAGAUCAGGUCUCUGCA